GCGCUACUCGCUUCUGUCCACCAUUGCUCCUCGCAUGGGGCGACAUGCCCUCCCGCUGCGGCUUCCGGCCGGUUCUACGCGGGCGCCAUGGCAGCGGGCGAGCAGCAGCAGCCAGCAGCAACUCGGCACCACGCUGCGCAGCGGACUCAAGUCCGAUGAGGAGAGAGGACGCCCAUGUGUCGUGGACUUCCUCCGGGCCAAGCCCACAUCAUCAAUGCGCUUCGAGAUUUUCGUUUCGUGACGCCCGCGGCCCGCGCUUCCUUUUCGCAGGCGCGGCGCGAGACUGAAAUUUCUCUCUCCACCGCGCUUCCGCGGCAAUCGGCGGCGAUCACUUCGGUCUCUCGGUCACGCCUCGCGGGGGGCAGCUUUCUCUGAUCAUCGCUGGUCAGCUUGUCUCUCUCACCGCGGUUUCCCCCCGUUCCAUUUCCCUUUUUUUUUUUGGCAUCCGAACUCUGGCACGAUCUGCUGGGCACGCACUCUGAUGAAUCGCAGAAACGAAGUGGCGGAUCGGGUACCAGUCGAGGUAGCAAUGGUUCAUCGAGCAAGUGAAUCAGCCGGGGGGUGGGAUGCCAAGAUAUGAGCAAAAGAAAGGAGACUGAACUCACCUGAGAUACAUGGGGUUAGAACACCAUCACCAAUUACCAUGGAUGUUGCCAGGACUGUUACUAGGAAAAGCAUGACCUUAAAUUUUGGACUGUUUUCCAUCUUGUUCUUGAUCCAAUGAGCCCUCUUGGUACGAUUUGUGGGGGACUCUAACUUGUAGCGAGAGACCAUUGCAUCUUCAGCCUGCUGAUUAGUUAUUCAACUUCAAGCAAUUGAAGGAUCAUUGUCUAAUUGAAGAAGAGUAACUGGAGAACAUACCUUGGCUGCAUGUGUUGAUACACCAGGGAUCUUUCCAGCCUCCAUAUGAAGUGAAUCGAAUCUCUGUAACCUCUUUGGUGGCAUUUUCUCUGAUGCAUAUUGUGGGUCGGCAUCACCAUGAGCAGCUCCAUUGCUGCUUGUGUGCUGAGGUUCAGCCAUCUCCAAGGUAUGGAGUCUUGCUCUGGCUGACCUUUUGUUUUAUUUUCCAUAAGUUGGCUUUUAUAGGCGUACUGGGAGGGGGCAAGCAUGAUACCAGGCAGUUAUUUUCUUGCCGCCGUAAAUGCCUGGCUUACAAUGCUGGAGUAUGAACGUGCGCUUUCUCUCCUUUUUCAAAGACCAGUAUGAACAUCUUCUGGGAUAGACAGGAUGCUCGUGUGACAAACAGAUUUCUCAUUGCGUGCUGUUAAAGUCAGAUGCUGUUAUCAUUCGCUUCA